rnacentral:rRNA from 1 species
AGUGAACGCUGGCGGUAGGCCUAACACAUGCAAGUCGAACGGCAGCACAGUAAGAGCUUGCUCUUACGGGUGGCGAGUGGCGGACGGGUGAGGGAUACAUCGGAAUCUACUUUUUCGUGGGGGAGAACGUAGGGAAACUUACGCUAAUACCGCAUACGACCUACUGUUGAAAGCAGGGGAUCUUCUGACCUUGCGCGAUUGAAUGAGCCGAUGUCGGAUUAGCUAGUUGGCGGGGUAAAGGCCCACCAAGGCGACGAUCCGUAGCUGGUUUGAGAGGAUGAUCAGCCACACUGGAAGUGAGACACGGUCCAGACUCCUACGGGAGGCAGCAGUGGGGAAUAUUGGACAAUGGGCGGAAGCCUUAUACAGAGAGACCGCGUGGGUGAAGAAGGCCUUCGGGUUGUAAAGACCUUUUGUUGGGAAAGAAAAGCAGCAGGUUAAUACCCCGCUGUUCUGACGGUACCCAAAGAAUAAGCACCGGCUAACUUCGUG